rnacentral:rRNA from 1 species
AUGCGUAGGUGGCGAGCGUUGUCCGGAAUUACUGGGCGUAAAGGGUGCGUAGGCGGAUAAUCAAGUCAGAUGUGAAAGUCCAUGGCUCAACUGUGGGAGUGCAUUUGAGAAUGAAGAUCUAGAGUGCAGGAGAGGGAAGCGGAAUUCCUAGUGUAGCGGUGAAAUGCGUAGAUAUUAGGAAGAACACCAGUGGCGAAGGCGGCUUUCUGGACUGUAACUGACGCUGAAGCACGAAAGCGUGGGGAGCAAACAGGAUUAGAUACCCUGGUAGUCCACGCUGUAAACGAUGAGUAUUAGGUGUAGGGGACGAUAGUCUUCUGUGCCGGAGCAAACGCAAUAAAUACUCCGCCUGGGGAGUACGGUCACAGGACUAAA